rnacentral:lncRNA from 1 species
CUGCUCUGGAAGAAAGACACACCACUGUCACAGAUGUAUGGGGACAGAUUAAGCUCCAGAUGGAAUACUGUCGGUGUCAAUCAGUCACUGUUCUUGCAGCCUGGCCGGCUUUCAUCAAAGUAACCACAGAGGAGGAUUCUGCAACUCACAACCUCUUAAAGCUUUGUAUGGACCGGAGGUGAAGCUCUCCUGUCAUCCUCAGCAUUCCCCUCCAAACGCUUGUUUAUGUCCCACCCCUGCUAAUUCAUACAUAGUAUCUUUUUAUUGUAUUCAUCCUUAAGUGUCUCUUCCAUUUCCAAGUGACUGUUCAAUAUUCCGCAGAAUGUUCCAGCUCUUCAGUGAGCUAUACAUUAUUGUGACAUCAGUUGUCCCAUAAAGUGACAAAAUCUGGAUCAAAUACAGGUCUUAUUGUCAGAAGAGAGGAGAUAAGAUGAAGAAUUGGUAAGAUAGCUGGGAAGAAGAGUGAAAUGACUGAUGUUUAUGAAACAUUUAGGAAGUUAUUGAACAUCUGCUACCUGCUCUUUUCUUUCCUUUUUUAUUCUGAAGAUCUACAAGUUUCAGCCAGUUUGUUUUAUGUUCCCAUUAUGACACACGUUUGGUUCAUGGCCAGUGACUCUGUGCCUCACUUUCAGACUGAUUGGAUACCACGCAGGCACAGGAAAAGAACAUGUGAAGGAUCCUAUCAGCCUAAAGAAUCACUGUCAGCCUCCCUACGCUAGCAGGACUUCCAGACCAAUGCUGAACAGCAGUGACAAGAAGUUACUUUCUUCUCAUGUCUAAUCUUGGGUCCCCAGAAUCCAAGGAACACUGUCUACUGAUAAAUCGC